rnacentral:tRNA from 1 species
UGACCGGUAGCUUAGAUAGGCAAAGCAACCGCUUGAUAAGCGGAAGAUCGUGGGAGCGAAACCCACUCGGUAAA